rnacentral:misc_RNA from 1 species
AACGCACAUUGCGCCCCUUGGUAUUCCGAGGGGCAUGCCUGUUCGAGCGUCAUUACAACCCUCAAGCAUUGCUUGGUAUUGGGCCCCGCUGCUUACCUAGCGGGCCUUAAAAUCAGUGGCGGUGCCGUCGAGGCUCUGAGCGUAGUAAAUAUCCUCGCUAUAGGGACUCGGUGGACGCUGGCCAUCAACCCCCAACUUUCUAAGUUUGACCUCGGAUCAGGUAGGGAUACCCGCUGAACUUAA